rnacentral:rRNA from 1 species
AUACGUAGGGGGCGAGCGUUGUCCGGAAUGAUUGGGCGUAAAGGGCGCGUAGGCGGCGCGGUAAGUCUGGAGUGAAAGUCCUGCUUUCAAGGUGGGAAUUGCUUUGGAUACUGCCGCGCUUGAGUGCAGGAGAGGUUAUCGGAAUUCCCGGUGUAGCGGUGAAAUGCGUAGAGAUCGGGAGGAACACCAGUGGCGAAGGCGGGUAACUGGACUGUAACUGACGCUGAGGCGCGAAAGUGUGGGGAGCAAACAGGAUUAGAUACCCUGGUAGUCCACACUGUAAACGAUGAAUGCUAGGUGUAAGAGGUAUCGACCCCUUUUGUGCCGGAGUCAACACAAUAAGCAUUCCGCCUGGGGAGUACGGCCGCAAGGUUGAAACUCAAAUGAAUUGACGGGG